AAUUCUCAACUUCAUCAACUUUGUUGUUGAAGCUUGGAUGUGGGGGUUUUGCAGGUCUGCCUUAGUUGUGUGGUCUGCUCUCCUGAAAUAUAUUAGCGGGUUGGCUUCCCUCUAUCAGUGUGAUAAUUAUCUACGCUGUAGAUGGGUUUGGCUUUCAGACCAGCUUCUAAUCGUCCUAGGACAAUUUCUUGACAU
rnacentral:misc_RNA from 1 species